GGGUCAAGGAUGAGAACGCAUGGUCUCGAAGGGCGAUGAUGACCAAAAUAAAUGUUCAGUGUGAGUGAUCUGAGACCC